rnacentral:lncRNA from 1 species
CUUGUUGCUCAGUCAUUCCAUGUCCAUUAAGGAAAAAUAUACAUUCUAGUCCAGAACUCCAUAUGGUUAGAGUUUGCAGAGUGAGGAAAUGGUUUAUAAUACCUUUUGGCUUAGUUUGGUACCUUUUCCUAUCAGCAAUAAAGAGCUCUCCUAUUUUUUGUUCUUUUCAUUCUAUUCAAUAAAAAAAAAUUCUUUUCUU